GACAGAGGUGCCAAGCGUUUAGGCGGAAUCACUGGGCUUAAAGCGUGUGUAGGCGGAUCGUUAAGUACCUUGUGAAAUCCCACGGCUUAACCGUGGAACGGCUGGGUAUACUGGCGAUCUUGAGCCACCUAGGGGCGAGCGGAACAAAUGGUGGAGCGGUGAAAUGCGUAGAUAUCAUUUGGAACGCCAACGGUGAAAAACAGCUCGCUGGGGGGUGUGCUGACGCUGAGACACGAAAGCCAGGGGGAGCGAACGGGG
rnacentral:rRNA from 1 species